UACGAAGGUGGCAAGCGUUGUUCGGAUUUACUGGGCGUACAGGGAGCGUAGGCGGUUGGGUAAGCCCUCCGUGAAAUCUCCAGGCUUAACCUGGAAAGUGCAGAGGGGACUGCUCGGCUAGAGGAUGGGAGAGGAGCGCGGAAUUCCCGGUGUAGCGGUGAAAUGCGUAGAGAUCGGGAGGAAGGCCGGUGGCGAAGGAGGCGCUCUGGAACAUUUAUGACCAUGAGGCUCGAAAGCGUGGGGAGCAAACAGG
rnacentral:rRNA from 1 species